rnacentral:rRNA from 1 species
AUUGAACGCUGGCGGCAUGCUUUACACAUGCAAGUCGAACGGUAACAGGGAGCUUGCACCGCUGACGAGUGGCGAACGGGUGAGUAAUACAUCGGAAUGUACCCAGUAAUGGGGGAUAACGCUUCGAAAGGAGUGCUAAUACCGCAUACGCCCUGAGGGGGAAAGUGGGGGACCGCAAGGCCUCACGUUAUUGGAGCAGCCGAUGGCUGAUUAGCUAGUUGGUGAGGUAAAGGCUCACCAAGGCGACGAUCAGUAGCGGGUCUUAGAGGACGAUCCGCCACACUGGAACUGAGACACGGUCCAGACUCCUACGGGAGGCAGCAGUGGGGAAUCUUGGACAAUGGGCGAAAGCCUGAUCCAGCAAUGCCGCGUGCGUGAAGAGGGCCUUCGGGUUGUAAAGCGCUUUUGUCUGUGAGCAAAUCCUGGCCUCUAAUACAGGUCGGGGAUGAGAGUACCAGAAGAAUAAGGACCGGCUAACUACGUGCCAGCCGCCGCGGUAAGAC